rnacentral:rRNA from 1 species
AGUGAACGCUGGCGGUAGGCCUAACACAUGCAAGUCGAACGGCAGCACAGUAAGAGCUUGCUCUUACGGGUGGCGAGUGGCGGACGGGUGAGGAAUACAUCGGAAUCUACUUUUUCGUGGGGGAUAACGUAGGGAAACUUACGCUAAUACCGCAUACGACCUACGGGUGAAAGCAGGGGAUCUUCGGACCUUGCGCGAUUGAAUGAGCCGAUGUCGGAUUAGCUAGUUGGCGGGGUAAAGGCCCACCAAGGCGACGAUCCGUAGCUGGUCUGAGAGGAUGAUCAGCCCCCCUGGAACUGGAAACCGGUCCAAACUCCUACGGGGGGCAGCGGUGGGGAAUUUUGGACAAUGGGCGCAAGCCUUACCCACCCAUCCCGGGGGGGUGAAAAAGGCUUUCGGUUUGUAAAGCCCUUUUGUUGGGAAAAAAAAGCAGCAGGUUAAUCCCCCGCUGUUCUGACGGUACCAAAAGAAUAAGCCCCGGCUAACUUCGU